CAGUUUUAUAGUUCUGUUAUUUUAUACUUUCUUAUACUUACGAAGUCAUUCUGAAUGUCUUCUUUAAAUUCUAAUAAUAUGAUAUGAACAAAAUGCUGGAAAUCUUGGUAGAUUUAGCUGUGGGAGCCACUUAGAGGUUAAACUUAAAGGAUGCAAAUCUGUUAAAGAUACUGUGAUUUUAUGAUUUUCAGAUUACUUUUCUUUUUGUCUUAUUUUUUUCAUGGAGCCCCUAACAAUCUUGUGCACCAAACCACUUGCUGACUGUAUUUGAAGUUUGUUUAUAAAAUCCAAAGUGGAGUGCAAAUAUAAAAGAUUUGUUGCAUUUUGAAGCUGGCAAUAAGUCUGUAUAUAAUUUAAGCACAUACUUUCAGGGGUUUUAUUUAAAGAGUGUAUAUGAUUCCGUUCUCUUUUGGAAAAGUCCUUGUGCAUCAUAAGAUAAUGAGUAUGUUGUCUUUGGGAAGACAAGAGUUUGAGCAAUUGGAACUUGAUGUUGUAGUGCUAAUAUCUUAGAUAUGGUAUUUCAUAUCUGAUGGGAUGUGGCAUCAGGUAGAAAUCCUCAGCUGAAGGYAGCAAUAUAGCCAUUGCCAUCUCUUCCAUCUUUGCUGGUCAGUAGAGUCGUGGUAGUUUGUUGCUUUUGUUGCCACUAGGAAGGGCUGAGGUAGCUAGCAGGUAUUCUAGAAACUUGCUCCUUUUGUUGUUAAUGAACAGAAGGCAAGGCAAGCUUGUUUGGCUUUAUUCAAACUUGUAAACCCUGCCUCCUCCCCAUUUUGCUUCCCUUCCUCUUAAGGCGCAUGGGUGGUUUUGUGGUCUCUGUAUCUGGUCUCCGUGUAAUACAGCCUGUGCACUGAGGAAGCGGAACAGAUAAAACAUAGCUUAUGUUUCUGGGAAUCCUUACCUCACCGCUGAUGGGGAAGCGUCGUGCUCCCAGGCACCGGUAGAUAAGAUGCUGGGCUGCUUGUCGUACUGAAGCAUGGGGCUGCCUUAUGAGUAGUUGCCUGCACGACUUCAUGAUUUGGGGGACCCAGAUCUUCAGCAGCAUGUUGCUUGGUCUCUUUCUAAAUUUGUACACUGCCUGACAGCUGCAAAGACAUAUUAUAAGUUGGGAGUUGAACAAAUUUUAUACUGGUUUUGCGAACUGAGAAUAAGUGACACUUAGAAUUGCUCAAGGCAUAUGCAGACUGAAUUUAGAACCCACAAAGAGUAAGACUGGCAGAAAGCUGAGGCCUUGGUUUCUAUAUCCAGCAGCUAGGUAAGCACCCUCCAAGCUGUGCUGCUGACACGUCUCUGCUGACCUGGUAGGAAAACUCUCCUGUGAAUGAGGGGCGGUUUAGUCAGGUGAGCUGGUUUCUCUGCUGAGGUGGUUGAACUGGGUUAGUUAGAGCCAGGUGUAAUACARUGGACUGUGUUGCUAGGAGCUAAUGCCAACAUCUCCAAGCUUUUCCUGCACCUGAGGACAGCACUCUGCUCCCUGUCAUCUAUGGAGGAAACUUUCAGAGUCUUAUACCACUGU
rnacentral:lncRNA from 1 species